rnacentral:rRNA from 1 species
GACGAACGCUGGCGGCGUGCUUAACACAUGCAAGUCGAGCGGAAAGGCCCCUUUGGGGGUACUCGAGCGGCGAACGGGUGAGUAACACGUGAGUAACCUGCCCCUGACUUCGGGAUAAGCCUGGGAAACUGGGUCUAAUACCGGAUAUGACUACUUCGGGCAUCCGAUGGUGGUGGAAAGUUUUUUCGGUUGGGGAUGGGCUCGCGGCCUAUCAGCUUGUUGGUGGGGUAGUGGCCUACCAAGGCGACGACGGGAGCCGGCCUGAGAGGGCGACCGGCCACACUGGGACUGAGACACGGCCCAGACUCCUACGGGAGGCAGCAGUGGGGAAUAUUGCGCAAUGGGCGGAAGCCUGACGCAGCGACGCCGCGU